GACGAACGCUGGCGGCGUGGAUUAGGCAUGCAAGUCGAACGGUAUAAACCUUUCGGGGUUUAGAGAGUGGCGAACGGGUGAGUAACACGUAGGUAAUCUACCCUCAAAACGGGGACAACCCAGGGAAACUUGGGCUAAUACCGGAUGCGUGCAAACAAUGUUUUGGCUGUUGUAAUUAUUCACGGAAGUGGAUAGUUAUGAGAGUUUCAGAGCAUAAUUUGCAUAAAAGGUGGCGUAAGCUGCCGUUUGAGGAUGAGCCUGCGUCCUAUUAGUUAGUUGGUGAGGUAAUGGCUUACCAAGGCGAUGAUAGGUAGGCGGCCUUAACGGGUGGUCGCCCACACUGGGAUUGAGAUACGGCCCAGACUCCUACGGGAGGCAGCAGUCGAGAAUAGUCUACAAUGGACGAAAGUCUGAUAGUGCGACGCCGCGUGAACGAAGAAUCCUUUCGGGGUGUAAAGUUCUUUUCUAUGUGAGCAGUUCCUUUUAUAUGAAGAGUAUAGAAGGUGGGAUUUAAGCAUAGGAAU
rnacentral:rRNA from 1 species